rnacentral:rRNA from 1 species
UACGUAGGCAGCGAGCGUUGUUCGGAGUUACUGGGCGUAAAGAGUGCGUAGGCGGUGCUCCAAGUCUGGUGUGAAAUCUCCCGGCUUAACCGGGAGGGUGCGCCGGAAACUGGGGUGCUGGAGUGUGGGAGAGGUAAGCGGAAUUCCCGGUGUAGCGGUGAAAUGCGUAGAUAUCGAGAGGAACACCUGCGGUGUAGACGGCUUACUGGACCAUAACUGACGCUGAGGCACGAAAGCGUGGGUAGCAAACAGG